UAGCGAGGAUGGCUGCGCGCGCGUUUGAGCGCUCGCGCGCGACGACCCGUCUGUCUUCUUCUUUUUUUUUUUCUUUUUUAAAUGUAACCUGGUUUAUUGGGCUCUCGGCGUAUUCUUGCGUUCCUUCUGCACUGGGACAAGACACCACUGCACUAUUGGACUACGGCAAGCUGGUGCCGCCCGGUGGAGCUUCAUACAGGAACUACUGCCUUACCUGCUGGUGUCACAACGUUGGAUGAACGCACAAAAAGCGCGGAACGAGCUUUUAUAUAGAGCAAAAUAAAUAUUACCUCAUUGCACAAAA